AUUGACCGCUGGCGGCAGGCCUAACACAUGCAAGUCGAGCGAGCGGCGGACGGGUGAGUAAUGUAUGGGGACUGCCCGAUAGAGGGGGAUAACUACUGGAAACGGUGGCUAAUACCGCAUACUAUCGGAUAACCCAUAUGGGAUUAGCUAGUAGGUGGGGUAAAGGCUCACCUAGGCGACGAUCUCUAGCUGGUCUGAGAGGAUGACCAUCCACACUGGGACGGAGAACCGGCCCAGACGCCUACGGAGGCAGCAGUGGGGAAUAUUGCACAAUGGGCGCAAGCCUGAUGCAUCCAUGCCGAGUGGAUGAAGAAGGUCUUAGGGUUGUAAAGUACUUUCAGCGGGGAGGCGUUACCCGCAGAAGAAGCACCGGCUAACUCCGUGCCAGCCGCCGCGGGAAUUC
rnacentral:rRNA from 1 species